rnacentral:tRNA from 1 species
GGUUAUAGCUCAGUGGUAGAGCACUUGCCUAGCAUGUGUGAGGGACUGGAUUCAAUUCCCAGCACCA